AUUGAACGCUGGCGGCAGGCUUAACACAUGCAAGUCGAGCGGAGACUUCGGUCUUAGCGGCGAACGGGUGAGUAAUACCUAGGAAUCUGCCUAUUAGUGGGGGAUAACGAAUCGAAAGGUUCGCUAAUACCGCAUACGUCCUACGGGAGAAAGGGGGGGAUCUUCGGACCUCUCGCUAAUAGAUGAGCCUAGGCCGGAUUAGCUAGUUGGUAGGGUAAAGGCCUACCAAGGCGACGAUCUGUAGCUGGUCUGAGAGGAUGGCCAGCCACACUGGAACUGAGACACGGUCCAGACUCCUACGGGAGGCAGCAGUGGGGAAUAUUGGACAAUGGGGGCAACCCUGAUCCAGCCAUGCCGCGUGUGUGAAGAAGGCCUCGGUUGUAAGCACUUUAAGCGAGGAGGAAGGUUUUUAGGUUUAAUUACACUAAAGAAUUAGACGUUACUACGUCAGAAUAAGAC
rnacentral:rRNA from 1 species